rnacentral:ncRNA from 1 species
GUUCGAGCAGCGUCGUGUCGCGGUCCGGGACUGUCCUCAGUCCCGGGUCGUCUCGGCGCGGUUCCGAGCGGUCGCUCCCUCGCGAGGUGCCGCGGGUCAGCGGCUGACGCCAGCCACCUUCCCGACCCGUCUUGAAACACGGACCAAGGAGUCUAACAUGUGCGCGAGCCGCGGGGCAGUACGAAACCCGUAAGGCGAAAUGAAGGUGAACGCCGGCGCGGUCCGGCGGAGGUUGGAUCCCGUCCCGUCGGGGCGGGCGCACUACCGGCCGAUCUUCUCCGCCCUGUCGGCGAGGUCGAGCGAGAGCGUGCAAGUCGGGACCCGAAAGAUGGUGAACUAUGCCUGAGGAGGUUGAAGCCAGAGGAAACUCUGGUGGAGGACCGUAGCGAUUCUGACGUGCAAAUCGAUCGUCAAAUUUGGGUAUAGGGGCGAAAGACUAAUCGAACCGUCUAGUAGCUGGUUCCCUUCGAAGUUUCCCUCAGGAUAGCUGGCGCUCUGUCGCAGUUUUAUCUGGUAAAGCGAAUGAUUAGAGGUCUUGGGGGCGAAACGCCCUCAACCUAUUCUCAAACUUUAAAUUGGUAAGAAGCCCGACUCGCUCGUUUGGAGCCGGGCAUGGAAUGCGAGUGCCAAGUGGGCCACUCUUGGUAAGCAGGACUGGCGAUGCGGGAUGGAACCGAACGCCGGGUUAAGGCGCCCGACGCGACGC